rnacentral:sRNA from 1 species
CACCUGGGUGGCUGUAGUGACCCUGAGUGUGGAUUUGGGCCUGGCUGUGGGUGUGGUCUUCUCCAUGAUGACUGUGGUCUGCCGCACCCGGAGCUCCUCCAGGUCCCGGGGCUCUGCAUCCUGAGCUAUCCAACACCACUGUACUUUGGGACCCGUGGGCAGUUUCGCCGCAACCUAGAGUGGCACCUGGGGCUCGGAGAAGGAGAAAAGGAGACUUUAAAGCCAGAUGGCCCAACGGUUGCAGGUGAGAUGGGGUGACAAGAAGGAAGAUUUGGGUAUGUUGCAUGGUGGCACCUGGGUACUCCUGUCUUCUCCCACUCUAGUUGCUGAGCCUGACAGGGUGGUCCUAGACUUCAGUGGUGUCACCUUUGCAGAUGCUGCUGGGGCCAGAGAAGUGGUGCAGCUGGCCAGCCGAUGUCGAGAUGCUAGGAUCGGCCUCCUCCUGGCUCAGGGUAAUGGGUGACCCCAGAUCAGCUGUUUGUGAGUGUGCAGGAUGCAGCUGCUUAUGCCCUGGGGAGCCUGGUAAGGGGCAGUAGCACCAGGAGCGGGAGCCGGGAGGCACUGGGCUGCGGCAAGUGAGGCAGAGGAGCUCACUGACCCAAAGAUUUGCACAGUGUGGGUCUGACCUCAUCAUGUGGAGUGCAGAGGGCCCCAAUGACAUGUGUGUGAUGAGGACCAUGACCCUUGAACCCCCUUACCUAACGUGACUAAUAAAAUGAAGCUGAGAGCUUUGGAAUCC